UCUAUAUAUAUAUGUAUAAUUUAGGAAACUGGAAAGGGGUUAAUGUAAUCAUUUCAUUAUUCACUUUGAGAGAGUUCUUGCUCAUGCGCCGAGAAAAGACCUAAGAACUCAUUAUUUUUUAUCCUAAUUAGCCCACACUGAUCCUUGUGUAUGGUGGAAGAUAAGGAAGAUCAAGGUGUAAAUUUAUCAUCACCAUUAUAGGAUACAACUUACGAAAAAGAUUCAAGGAUACCCUUAUAUGCUUCAAGAGAGAUUGUUCCCUUGUAGCCUUGUUAUCACAGUGCAAUUUUUUCACGCUCAAUACGGAGCUCCUUUAAGAUAGACAACAACCAUAUCACUUCACUCAGCAUUAGCUAUUGCCCUAUACUCAGCUUCAACUUAUGAUCUUGAUAAGCUUAUUUUUAUUUAUUUUUUUUUAAUUUUUGGCCUACUUAAUUUUCCCAAUGCAUCAUGUCGUCAUAAUAGUGAUCUUUCUUUGACUUAAUAUAACAACAAGUUUUGGGCACUUUUUUCAGUUAAAAAACACACUGGGAAAAAUCUCACUCUUGUUGUGAAACAAUAUAACAAAUACUAAUAUUAAGUGGACUUUUAUACAA